rnacentral:lncRNA from 1 species
GUUCGAGUUCAACCUGAGCAAACAUCCAAACAUCAAAUACAAUGAUGGAAUAACAACGAACAACAUUUAAUAAAGGAAUGCUUACCAAGUGAGAUAAUCACGGGUUGCUUGGACAUCACUGUCCAAAAAUACACGUGAUGAUGUCAUAGAGGAGAGAGCUAGGGCACCUAUAACAGAUCCAAUGUUAUAAUACAGAGUCAAAAUUUGAUGUAAAAUGAGAUGUAUAAUAAUGUAUAUCUAUAAUAUUUGUUAUCUCAGAACCUAUCGGUUCACUCAUAGCUAAUAAGCGCCAAUUUCUAUCAAAUGCAAUCAUAUUAUUUAAAGCUAACAUAACCAGAUAGAUUCAUUAAUCAUCCUAUGUACUUCUUAAAACAAUAAGUAAGUUGAUAAUACGAACCUCCAAAUCGUUUCGGGUUUAAGGUGGUGACCAAAAUAACACGUGCAGUUCCUCCAGAUGCUUUAAUUUUUCCACUAAAAUCAAAAGCAGCCUUGUACCAUAGGUAUAACUUCAUCACCGGACCACUGCAACAUCCAAAACUCGUGUGAUAAGAGAGACAAAAGGAUAGAUGAAUUUACCAAAAUGAAAAGUAAAAAGAUACAGAUUAGCUUACUCAUGUGUUUGAACAUGAAGCAGAACUCGGCGGGAUGAAGCUAUCUCAGCAUCAUCUAUCACGAUACUGUCACUGAGAACCUGCCCAUUCACAAGCUUGAUGUGGCCAACAUAAUCUGCAAAAUAAAACAAUCAAACUCAAUGCUUUAUAUCUUAUAACCCAGCAACGAAAUCUAAAAAUGUAAGUCUGGAUCAAAACACAAUCCUAGCCAACAAUGCUGAAUAUAUUUGAUCGAAUGAAAACAUAUCAUCUAAGAUUAGAUUAAACAU